rnacentral:rRNA from 1 species
GGAAUAUUGGACAAUGGGGGCAACCCUGAUCCAGCCAUGCCGCGUGUGUGAAGAAGGCCUUCGGGUUGUAAAGCACUUUUGUCCGGGAAGAAAUCUCACGAUUUAAUACGUCGGGAGGAUGACGGUAACGGACGAAUAAGCACCGGCUAACUUCGUGCUACACCCCGCGGUAAUACGAAGGGUGCAAGCGUUACUCGGAAUUACUGGGCGUAAAGCGUGCGUAGGUGGUUCGUUAAGUCUGCCGUGAAAGCCCCGGGCUCAACCUGGGAAUGGCGGUGGAUACUGGCGGACUAGAGUGCGGUAGAGGGUGGUGGAAUUCCCGGUGUAGCAGUGAAAUGCGUAGAGAUCGGGAGGAACAUCUGUGGCGAAGGCGGCCACCUGGACCAGCACUGACACUGAGGCACGAAAGCGUGGGGAGCAAAC